rnacentral:rRNA from 1 species
CACCGCGGUUAUACGAGAGACCCAAGUUGACAAAAACCGGCGUAAAGCGUGGUUAAUAAAACUUAAACUAAAGCCGAACAUCUUCAAAGCUGUUAUACGCACCCGAAGACAGGAAGACCCCCAACGAAAGUGGCUUUAACCACUAUGAGUCCACGAAAGCUAGGAAA